rnacentral:misc_RNA from 1 species
GAUGAAGAACGUAGCAAAAUGCGAUAAGUAAUGUGAAUUGCAGAAUUCAGUGAAUCAUCGAAUCUUUGAACGCACAUUGCGCCCGCCAGUAUUCUGGCGGGCAUGCCUGUUCGAGCGUCAUUUCAACCCUCAAGCACAGCUUGGUGUUGGGACUCGCGUUAAUUCGCGUUCCUCAAAUUGAUUGGCGGUCACGUCGAGCUUCCAUAGCGUAGUAGUAAAACCCUCGUUACUGGUAAUCGUCGCGGCCACGCCGUUAAACCCCAACUUCUGAAUGUUGACCUCGGAUCAGGUAGGAAUACCCGCUGAACUUAAGCAUAUCAAGCGGAGGA